GAUGAAGGACGCAGCGAAAUGCGAUAAGUAGUGUGAAUUGCAGAAUUCAGUGAAUCAUCGAAUCUUUGAACGCACAUUGCGCCCUUUGGUAUUCCUUAGGGCAUGCCUGUUCGAGCGUCAUUUAAACCUUCAAGCUCAGCUUGGUGUUGGGUGACUGUCCGCUUCACCGCGGACUCGCCUCAAAAUUAUUGGCGGCCGGUACAUUGGCUUCGAGCGCAGCAGAAACGCGAACUCGGGCCCGUCGUAUUGGCUCCCAGAAGCUAUCUUCACAAUUUUGACCUCGGAUCAGGUAGGGAUACCCGCUGAACUUAAGCAUAUCAAUAAGCGGAGGA
rnacentral:misc_RNA from 1 species